ensembl:lncRNA LINC00658 long intergenic non-protein coding RNA 658
AGGCAUUGUAUCUUCCACCUCUUAGAUCUCUCUCUCUGCGGAAGCCAGCCACCGCUCUCCAAGGACUCUCGAGCAGCUCCAUCUACAGAUUCACAUGGAGAAGAAUUAAGGGUUCCUGCCAAUCACCAGCACCACUUUGCCAGCCUUGUAAGUGGGCCACCUUGGAAUUGGAGCCUCCAGUUCCUACUGACAUCUGACUGCAACAUCAUGAGAGACCCUGAGUUUGAACCACCCAGCUGAGCUGCUUCUGAGCUAACCCACUGAAACCACAGUUGGCAUCUGUGUGAAGAUGUGAAUGGAGGAGGCAGAGUAGGCAGUGAGUGCCGCAGCCACAGCUUGUGUUCUCUGCAGCCCUGGCACAGAAGAUAGGAACACUCAUGGGGGAUGCGGCCACUGUGAUGUCUUCCCACACAAGAAGUGCCAAGUGCUUUUCUCAUGCUUUUCUGGAUUGUCCCAUGGUGGACGAGUCAGCAGGAGUGAGAUGGAGCAGCACAGUAGAGGGGAUAUCGUUGUACAUAUUCUCAGCUAAGUGAGCACCAAUAGAGGAGAGGGAGAGUCUCAUGGAAGUUCCUUCUAAGCCUUUGGCUCUUUUUACCUUCAACAAGGUGUGCCACCUCUUUGAUCCAGCAAGUGGGAAGAACAGUCCCGGCCUCUUUGCACACAAGACCGUGAUACCAAUGCACCAUCACAGGCCCCACAGGGGAGCUGUCCGCUUCCCCACACAGCUGCUAGGGGCUCUUUUGCAUGUUCCCAACCUUUCCUGCCUUUAUCUGAUAUUCGUUCCUUAGAUCCUGGGAUGAGGAGGUGGACCAGCAGAAGGUGGGCUUGUGAAGGCAGCCCGGGGUCCAAAUCCUCCUGGCUCUUCAGCUUAGCGGGUUAGUUAACAUUCAGAAGCCUUCAUCUCCCAUCUGCAAAAUGGGCAUGUCCAACUCAGAAGCUGCCUUGAAGAAAGGGUCUACCCAGCAUGGUGCGUGGAGCCUAAGCAGUCAGUACUUCAGGACUUCACCCGGCCCCUUUCCAAUAACUGCUGCUGUCGCCCUCACAGGAUGUCACCUUCAGCGUCUGAAAGCUGGGUUUGAUGCGUCUGGAAAGGCGUCCCUGACAGGCGUCGUUGCCAGGAGCCCCUAGUGCCACCAGCAGCCAGCAGGGGAGGGCGUCCUCUGCCCGCUCACUUCUGACCCUUCUCUCGUUGCACCCGGAACAUGGUGCAGCUGGGAGCAGCCUGGGCUGCGCGGAAGGCUCAGAUUUGGGGACGGCCCUUGCCAGUGACUGUGAGCUGGGGUGUCUUGGAAACUCCCAGUCUCAGCUUCUCCAUUUAUAAGAUGAGAAUGAUCAUACCAGACUCAGGCAAGGUUGUUUGUGCAUUAGUGAAAUCAGACGUAUUAAAUAAAGUACCACAUUGAUCGUGGAGUUGUUGAAUAACCAAGAACACGCCUAUCUGUCUCCAAAAAAUAAAUGUUGAAAAUGA